CAGUCAGUCACAGAGAGACAUGACAUUACACAUUACACGUCGUCAUAAGUUACUUAAAAAGUUUAACAGCGGAGUUCGGAUAACAAGUCAACUGUUUUUAAGUAAUUUCAGCUGAAGUUUUCAUGUACCUGGCCAACUAGAUGCUCGUGACAAUAGAAAUGAAAUGGUCUAAUCCAAUAACAUUUGCAUGCCCACAACCUUAUGUCUUCUGAAGCAAAAUAAUUUCUGUUGCAAGUUUUAAAUUUUCAAGAUAUUGAUGCCUUCGCCAGAUCCCAUUCUUUGUUGCUAUCAGUUUUGCAGACAACAGCAAGAAAAUGGUGCUACUCAAGAUUUUAUGGUGACCAAAACUUUGUUCUAAUUUAGGACAAUGUAAGGUUGAUAGAUUUGAGGGUUAUCCCUCUUUGCCACUGUUAUAGUUGUUUGGAAACCGACAAGAGAUUGCUGGAAUUGAAGACUGAUAAUUUGUGUAGAUUUAGAUAAAUUAAAAGUGCAUACCUGGUCUCCCUUCUUUUCUGUGGCCCCGUUUCCCUAACUAACCAGUACUAACCACUAACCAACGCCCGCCGGUGGUCACUCACCCGCUGUGAGGGGAGGGCUCUGGUCGAACGGUGAUUUGGAAGGGCGCAUGAUCUUAUGAAAGCUUUUGGAGGGUCAUGAGUCUAACCCGGAAGCCUACUAUGACUAUAAUAUCCCUCCAGUAAGACUGGCCUCAUAUUUCUCUCUUCUUCACUGGCCAGGUAAUCUCCGUGGUCGUAGUUAGUCAAGGCAGUGGUACCUCCCGUCUUGAUUAAUUCUACUUGCAAGUUGGGAAGUUGGUAAAGUAUAGUAAAUUAUCGAUACGGAAAAUAAGUAAUAAGUACCCACAGGAUUUAUAAAAAAUUGCUUGUAGUAGUUACGCAAUUAUUGUAAUUUUACACGAGUACUUAGAUUAAUCUAUAUUUACCGAAUAAAAUUAAUAUUUUCGGUUAUUUAA